AUGAAGACUAUUCUCAGCAAUCAGACUGUCGGCACUCCAGAAAAUGUCAACGUUACUCUGAAGGGACACACAGUUAUUGUGAAGGGCCCCAGAGGAACCCUGUGAAGGGACUUCUGUCAUAUCAAUGUAGAACUCAGUCUCCUUGGAAAGAAAAAGAGGCUCCGGUUGACAAAUGGAGAAACAGAAAAGACCUGGCUACUGUCUGUACUCUUUGUAGUCAUGCACAGAACAUGAUCAAGGGUGUUAACAGUGGGCUUCCAUUACAAGACGAGGUCUGCACAUGCUCACUUCCCUAUCAAUGUCGUUAUCUAGGAGAAUGGGUCUCUUGUUGACAUCCGAAAUUUCUUGGAUGAAAAAUAAAUCCUCAGGGUUUGGAUAAGGCCAAAUGUUGCUUGUUUGGUAUCUCAAGCCCAGAACGAUGAAUUAAUCUUUGAAGGAAACAACAUUGAGCUUAUUUCAAAUUCAGCUGCUUUGAUUCAGCAAGCCACAACAGUUAAAAACAAAGAUAUCAGAAAACUUUUGGAUGGUAUCUAUGUGUCUGAAAAAGGAACAGUUCUGCAGGAUGAUGAAUAA
rnacentral:lncRNA from 1 species